rnacentral:rRNA from 1 species
UUGAAAGGGAAACGAUUGAAGUCAGUCAUGCCGGUGAGAAAUCAGCUCACAGGCUACUGUGGGUGCACUUUUUCGCAAGGCAGGUUAACAUCGGUUUUUGUUGCGUUAUAAUGAUUGUAGGAAGGUGGCUCCUUCGGGAGUGUUAUAGCCUACUUUAGAUGACGCGACGAAGACUGAGGAUUGCAGCGAAUGCCUUUGGCUACGGAUCUUUUCUCUGUCGAUCUUCAAUUGAUCGUCAGCUUGCUGACGAGCGGUUGAUGGGUUUACAAUAGGAUGGAAUUCGAUAAAUUCGUUAAGGAUGUUGACGUA